CAAGGGGGCAGCCAGAAGUAGUCAAGGGAAGCUUUUCCACUGCAGCAAUGUGAUGAUGUAAUAUCCAAGUCUCCCUCUGGUUUGCAUCUAUGAAUAACAGAUGGGUUGCUGUAAGGUACAGAGUUCCUGUCAGAGACUUAUUGCUGGUGCUGAACCUAUCCAGUAAUUUCACGUGCUCUACCUUGGUGGUGCGGAUGUGCUCCAUGACGACCCCGAGCGCGCGGCUGAAAACAGAGCGUACCGCCGCCGGGCCGGGCCGGCCGUCACCUACUGCCGCUUCCG
rnacentral:lncRNA from 1 species